AGGAGGGAGUGCGUGGGUGGGAGUAACUGGGGGGGGGGGAGGCGAAGGCGAGAGAAAGAGAGCGAGGAAAAAUGGUUCGCACCUCCCAUUUUUCCUCGCUUUCUUUCGCCUUCGCCUUUCCCCCCUAGUUUCUCCCACCCUCGCCCUCCCCCU